UAUUCAUGAUAUCCGAGUUAUCCGACAGACCCGCGGCGUAGCAGUUGACAAGCGUGCACUUUACAAAGAAUUCAGUGGAAUUAAAUUCAUUUGAACCUCUAGACUGCUGUGAAAAAGACUUUUGCAUCAUUUAUUGCAGAGGGCUACAUAAUAGGUCAACCAAGUUCAAGAAGCGCCGAACAGGAGUCUCUCUGCUUGCAGUCAUGGACUCACAUAGUGAGAUGUAUCCUCAACGGUUUGCUAUGCAUCGAAACACCCCACUAAAGUGGGACUACAAGAUGAAUCUGGUCGGCAGAAAGGAUCAAGAUCCCAAACUUCACAACUGUGAGAAAUGCAGCUUUCCUAUCAUGGCAUAUGGCAGAAUGAUUCCAUGCAAACAUGUGUUUUGCUUUGACUGUGCCAAGGCCACGGACAAGAGUUGUUUACGAUGUGAAGACCCUGUACAGCGAAUAGAGCAGUCUCCUCUUGGUAGCAUAUUUCUCUGCGCCUAUGGAGCCCCAAAGCAUUGCCAUACAGGAUGUCGCAGAACUUAUCUCUCACACAGGGAUCUCUUGGCCCACAUCAACCAUCGUCAUACUCCAAAACCUCCUAGUCAGGUAGUAUCAUCAACCACUUCAAGUGGACCUAAGGACCAAGGCCAUAGUACAAUGUCCAGAAUGACCGAUCCAAGAUCCGAUUCCAGGAGUGACCCGCGUAGUCACCAGUCGUAUGUUUCAUCUCACCAGGAUGGAUACCCUGGCCCCACUCCAGCACAGACUUCUCAUAUCAUGCCAGAGCAGAUGCAGUAUGAGCCACGCUCAUCGGAGGGGGCGAGCAGCCAAAGUGGACCUGAGGAUUACCAUGUCAAUGUGCCAGUCAGGAAGUCAAAUCUCAUCACUGUCCCUCUGCAUGACAGUAGCAAAGACUACCAGCAGUCGUCUCAGGUCCAUGGUGCAGUUGUGUCCUACCCAUCACAAGCUCCAAUAGUCCCUGUCCAGCAACAGCAUCAAGGCCCACCUCCGCCCCCUCCACCACAACAUGUGGCCUACCCUCAACAUCUUCCUCCAUCGACUGGUUCCCAUGUACCUAUCUCUCACCCACCCCCAGUCUCUGGUUCAUACACAGGGCCACCGAUCAGUGUACACCAAGUGAUGCACAUCAUGCAUCCACAACAAGCCCCAGUCUACAGUCAGGGAGGUGUCCCACCGCCCAGAAUGAACCAGCCCCACUAUGACAAUGCCCAACGACCUUCUUUCCAAUCCACACCCCUCCCUGGGGGGAAUGCACCAUUCCCAGCCCCUGGUGUACCAAGAUGGCCAGUUGGUCCUCCUCCUACUUCCAGUAUGCCCCCUCCUCCACAAACUAACAUGCCACCCCCACCACCCCCAUCUCAAGUUCCAACCAUGGUUAACCAGGUACCCUCCAUGCCACCUCCACAGGCUCCACCAGGUGCUAGGCCUGAGAUGGGACCUCCGCCCCCUCCUAUGGGACCUCCAAUGACUGAAGCACCUCGCUAUCACGGCCAGUACUUCUCAUGAGAGAACACUGAUGCACAGAACAUCAUGAUUGUCAUGCCCUUUUAAAAAAAAAUUGUCAUCAAUGCUGUGUAAAUACUAAAUAGUUUUGAUUUUUGUCAGUCAGCUGAAAAAAUAACUGUGUUAUUGAUGCUUUACUUAUCUAUUGCUAGCUUAACUCCAAAAAAGUAAAUGAGUGCCAUGCAUUCAAUUAUAUCAACUUAAAGCCUGUGUUCCAUCUACAGAAUGCUUUCUUAAUCAUGAGCAUACUUGUUUCAAUUGUCUUAGUUGUAUAAUUUGUUUAAUUUUUUUUUUUAGAGUAGGGGGGGGGGGGGGGAGGAUAAAAUUGCAGAACAGAUAGCCAUUAUAACAAUCAUAGCAAGGGUAGUACAAACUAAUAUAUUUAUUUGAUGAAAUCAAGAAAGAACAUGACAUCUCAACUUAAAAAAAAAAGACAUAACAUCAAAUGCCUAAUAACAGAUGUCCUUUUUUUUUAGUAAUGAUCAUGGUGUUAACAUAAAUAGAUAAACUACCGGUAUGAAGGUUCAUUAGGUAAUUUAAUUAAUGGAUCAUUCUGUGUUGUUCACGUUUUUGCUUCAAGCCAAGUGUAUUUUAAUAAUAUGUACUUGUAUUAUACUGGGAUCCAAUUAUACGGCAUCGUUUAGCUUUGAUACGCCAUGGUGCUCUUUUUUGCUCAUGAUGAAGUUAUAAAUGCAAUGUCCACAGCACUCAAUCAAGAUCUCCAUCUUUGUAUCUAGUUUUUUUGUUCAUUGUGCAUAAGCUGGCACCAGGUCUGUAACAUAAGUAUUUUUCACAAAAUAUGUUGCCGUUUCUGACUGCAAAAUAUUACUAGAUGAGUUCCAUGCAAGCCGAUACUUAUAAGCAGCAUGUAGAUAAGUUCUAUUGAUAAUACAGAGGAAUUGAAAAACCAUAAAUGAUAACUCUUGUGUUCGAGAUAAAAUUUCAUUUCUUUUAGAGCAAUAUUUCAUUUGAUGUUACACGCAGUUUCAAGCCAUGAAAUUAACAUGAAAUGUUAAUUCAUGUGUUCUCUAAUGUCUAGUGUAUAUUUUAUUUAUUUUUUUGCAUUCUUUUAAAGAUAGCUACAAUUUGGAUCAUGUGCAUUUACAAUUGAUACCCUUACCAAGUUUUGUAUUUUUUUAAGUAUGCACAAAAAUGAUUUGGCCCAGUUUAUGUUUUUUGAGAAUGUGACAUAUUAAAGCUUACAUCUAAAAGUAUUCAACAAAAGCCCUAAUUCAACCAAUCCACCUUUCAUUCUUGAGUUACGAAAAACACAAACAACAUCAAGUUUACAAGGGGUGUGAGUGGUUCAGUUGUUAACUGUAUACAUGUAUGUGAAUUAGUUUACUUCUGCUUAUGAAGGAGUGUUUGUGUAGUCCUUGUAUGGGCAAGCCCAAGUUGUUGUGUCCCAAACUUUACCAAGUACCGGUAUUAUAAUUUUUUGUUUUAUUUGUCACAUAGUGAAUUUGUUGAUUAUUACAAGAGAAAGCAUGCAAAAAUGAACAUUCAAGCCUAGGCUACUGUCUGAAUACACAGGAUAGUACAAGGUGAAAAAAUAAAACACAUAAUCAUACAUUUACCAAAAAUAACCCCGGAUAAACAUACAAUUGACAAAAUACAACCAACAUGUCGUAUAUAAUCACUAAGUAAGUUUGGGAACUUGGAACAUAGACAUUUCUGGAAAAAUAUGUAUUUUGAGAUAUCAAACGCUUCUAUUGUAUGUAUGUCAUUGUAUGACAGAAAUAGGAACAGUUUUGAAAUGUCAAUUUAAUGGAACGUCUGUUUUUUGUGGUUGAAUCAUUUGUAAAGACAAAGCUUAUCAAGUAUUUGGGAUUAUACAUGUAUAUAUCUGUUGGUGAUUUAAGAUUACUGAAUGUACCGGUAGUCUCAUCAAGUAAAACCAUUUAAGCAACAGUCAGUACCUUGAUUAAAACUAAAUGCAGAAUUAUUUGACCAAAU